GGGUAGCUGGUUUGAGAGGAUGACCAGCCACAUUGGGACUGAGAUACGGCCCAGACUCCUACGGGAGGCAGCAGUGGGGAAUCUUGGACAAUGGACGAAAGUCUGAUCCAGCGACACCGCGUGGGGGAUGAAGGCUUUCGGGUCGUAAACUCCUUUUCUGGGGGAAGAAUAAGGGCGAGAGGAAAUGCUCGUCCGAUGACGGUACUCCAGGAAUAAGCAUCGGCUAACUUCGUGCCAGCAGCCGCGGUAAGACGAAGGAUGCGAGCGUUAUCCGGAAUUACUGGGCGUAAAGGGCGUCUAGGCGGUCAAGUAAGUCACCUGUGAAAGCCCUCGGCUUAGCCGAGGAAGGUCGGGUGAUACUGCUUGGCUUGGGUGUAGGAGAGGAGAGCGGAACUCACAGAGUAGCGGUGGAAUGCGUAGAUACUGUGAGGUACCCCGAUGGCGAAGGCAGCCCUCUGGCCUACUACCGACGCUGAAGCGCGAAAGCGUGGGGAGCAAAGGGGAUUAGAUACCCCCGUAGUCCACGCCGCAAACGAUGUUCACUUGGUGUCGGUCGCAUAUACAGAUCGGUGCCGGAGCUAACGCGUUAAGUGAACCGCCUGGGGAGUACGGCCGCAAGGCUAAAACUCAAGAGAAUUGACGGGUCCCCGCACAAGCGGUGGAGCACGUGGUUUAAUUCGACGAUAAGCGAAGAACCUCACCUGGGCUUGACAUACUAGUGGUAGGAACCUGAAAGGGGGACGACCCUGCCUUCGGGUAGGGAGCUAGUACAGGUGAUGCAUGGCUGUCGUCAGCUCGUGUCGUGGGAUGUAGGGUUAAGUCCCGAAACGAGCGCAACCCUUGUCGUUAGUUGCCAGCGGGUAAUGCCGGGGACUCUAACGAGACUGCUGGUGAAUAGCCGGAGGAAGGGGGAUGAUGUCAAGUCAUCAUGUCCCUUAUGCCCAGGGCGACACACAUGCUACAAUGGGAGGUACAGAGGGUCGCAAUACGGUAACGUGGAGCCAAUCUCAAAAAACCUCCCCCAGUUCGGAUUGUGGUCUGCAACUCGACCACAUGAAGCCGGAAUCGCUAGUAAUCGCGGGUCAGCCAUACCGCGGUGAAUAUGUACUCGGGGAUUGUACACACCGCCCGUCACACCAACCGAGUGGGGGGUACCUGAAGUCGCCUUUUUGAGGGCGCCUAAGGUAACCUUCGCAAGAGGGGUGAAGUCGUAACAAGGUA
rnacentral:rRNA from 1 species